rnacentral:rRNA from 1 species
CACGUAGGGGACGAGCGUUGUCCGGAAUCAUUGGGCGUAAAGAGCGUGUAGGCGGCCAGAAAAGUCCGCUGUGAAAACUCGAGGCUCAACUUCGAGCUGUCGGUGGAAACUUUCUGGCUAGAGUCCGGAAGAGGAGAAUGGAAUUCCUGGUGUAGCGGUGAAAUGCGCAGAUAUCAGGAGGAACACCGGUGGCGAAGGCGGCUCUCUGGGCCUGUCCUGACGCUCAGGCGCGAAAGCUAGGGGAGCAAACAGG